rnacentral:rRNA from 1 species
CGGCGUCGAGCGGCGGACGGGUGAGUAAUGCCUAGGAAAUUGCCCUGAUGUGGGGGAUAACCAUUGGAAACGAUGGCUAAUACCGCAUGAUGCCUACGGGCCAAAGAGGGGGACCUUCGGGCCUCUCGCGUCAGGAUAUGCCUAGGUGGGAUUAGCUAGUUGGUGAGGUAAGGGCUCACCAAGGCGACGAUCCCUAGCUGGUCUGAGAGGAUGAUCAGCCACACUGGAACUGAGACACGGUCCAGACUCCUACGGGAGGCAGCAGUGGGGAAUAUUGCACAAUGGGCGCAAGCCUGAUGCAGCCAUGCCGCGUGUGUGAAGAAGGCCUUCGGGUUGUAAAGCACUUUCAGUCGUGAGGAAGGUGGUAGUGUUAAUAGCACUAUCAUUUGACGUUAGCGACAGAAGAAGCACCGGCUAACUCCGUGCCAGCAGCCGCGGUAAUACGGAGGGUGCGAGCGUUAAUCGGAAUUACUGGGCGUAAAGCGCAUGCAGGUGGUUUGUUAAGUCAGAUGUGAAAGCCCGGGGCUCAACCUCGGAAUUGCAUUUGAAACUGGCAGACUAGAGUACUGUAGAGGGGGG